rnacentral:rRNA from 1 species
UACAGGGGGUGCAAGCGUUGCUCGGAAUUACUGGGCGUAAAGCGAGCGCAGGCGGCCGAUUAAGUCAGAGGUGAAAGCCCGGGGCUCAACCCCGGAAAUGCCUUUGAAACUGGUAGGCUUGAAUGCAGGAGAGGGUCGCGGAAUUCUUGGUGUAGAGGUGAAAUUCGUAGAUAUCAGGAAGAACACCAGUGGCGAAAGCGGCGCCCUGGCCUGACAUUGACGCUCAUGCUCGAGAGCGUGGGGAGCAAACAGG